rnacentral:rRNA from 1 species
CCCCAGACUCCUACGGGAGGCAGCAGUGGGGAAUAUUGCACAAUGGGCGAAAGCCUGAUGCAGCGACGCCGCGUGAGUGAAGAAGUAUUUCGGUAUGUAAAGCUCUAUCAGCAGGGAAGAAAAUGACGGUACCUGACCAAGAAGCCCCGGCUAACUACGUGCCAGCAGCCGCGGUAAUACGUAGGGGGCAAGCGUUAUCCGGAUUUACUGGGUGUAAAGGGAGCGUAGACGGCGAAGCAAGUCUGAAGUGAAAUCGCAGGGCUCAACCCUGGGACUGCUUCGGAAACUGUUUUGCUAGGGCGUCGGAGAUGGAAGUAGAAUUCCUGGUGUAGCGGUGAAAUGCGUAGAUAUUAGGAGG